GGAUUGUCAACCUGGACCAUUAUAACAAUUUCCUCUUGGCGAGAAAGUCCUGUGGGUUUUUGAAAGCUUACUGGAGUCAGAGGAGGGACAUGCACUUCCAGCUGAAGCAGGGGUGAGGCUAAGGGCAAACAUUCAAACCUUUGUCCUAAAUGCUUUGAGUCCCUCAGAUGAAAAGUUGACCAAUUUAAAGAAGCUCCUGCUGAUGCACAGAAGAAGGAGUUUGCAGAUAUCAUUAAACAUCGCCAGAUGAGGCUGCAGGUAGCCAAAGCCUUCCUUAAUGAAAAUUUAAAGAGAGCAGAUGAAAAUGGUAUUCCUUCAAUCCAACACAAUACUGAGCACGUUCUGCCAACCUCAAAGUUAUUCUACAAUUUGAGUAAGAUCUAAAGCUCCAAGCCUGCAAAACACUGAAGGUUUUAAAUAUUUCCAGCAUCAUAUGAUAUUAAAGUUGAGAAGGCAUGCCAGCUUUUGCAGUACCAAACAACCCACUGAAAUCACUAGGACUCUCAGAGUGGUAAGAGUCUCCAGGCAGCUGUUCUGCUGUUCAAGAUAUACUGCAUGUAUAGAAGCUACACAGAGAGAACAUAUCUGUGCAUCAUCCUAGAGUGAGCAGGAGAGGACAACACAUGGACAGUCUGGGAAGAGGUUUCAGAACCAACAGAACUGCCAUUGAAUGGGAUUCAAUGAGAACCCCCUCUACAGAGCCUGAGAUCCGGAGUCACAGUGCUCCCACUUGGUAUGACACCCUAUCAUCCUGUAAACAACAGGACACCCACCACAGAAUGCUGCCUAAAUGGGCAAGUUUCCAUGAUGGUGGAGAUGUCGCCAGCAGAAUGCACACUGGGGUGUCAUAACAAGCAGGAGCUGGUGAUCAGCAGUGAAUCUAAGUCAACAAGACAUGUAGAAAAUUGAGGACAGCUCCUAAAAUGUUGCACUCAUAGCCCAACUUCAUGGAAUUCAUAGCUUCACCUGGCUUGAUACAAAAGCUUUUUUUACAUAUUUGAAAAGAUUUUUUCGGAAUAAGUUAUUAUGCCACCUUCACAGAACUUUAAGGAAGAAGCAGAAAUGAUAAUAAAAGCAGCCCUCACUAUCAGAUAUUCUAUUAAACAAAAGAAGAUUGCUUAGCGCAAUAUUCCUAGUUCAGCUAUCAACAUGCUCAUAAGAACUGUGAACUACAAUAUGGGUAAGCUUUAAAGACAUAGCAAAUCACGUUGGCCAAGAAAGCUACAUAUCUGGAAUCCAGACAACUCUAUGUUUUCAUCUGACUGCUGUAUUACAAAGGAAUGCGUUUCGCCUAUAGCA